rnacentral:tRNA from 1 species
GGGCGGGUAGUUUAGCGGCUAUAACGUCUCGUUGACGUCGAGAAGGCCGGAGGUUCAAAUCCUCCCUCGCCCA